rnacentral:lncRNA from 1 species
CCUUGCCUUUGGUAUCGCUCUCACCAUAUUCAUGUACUGAACCAUUGGGACUGAUAACUUGAUCUCAUGGGAACACCUUGAUCAAUGGCAAAGAGUAUAUCCAAUGUCACAACAGACCACUGUCCAGCAUCACAGCAUUCUCAGGAUGCCUUCUCAGUAAGGUCAGUUACACCAUAGUAACACUUCUCUGCUUCAACAGGCAAAGAGCCUAAACCCACCUCCUUAAAUGACCUCUGCAGAUGUUUAAAGAUUCUCUUUGGAACCUUUAUGCUCAAGUUUGUAUUGAAGAUUUAGGCAUUUUAUCAGAGGAAGGACAACAGCAUCACUAUCAUCUCCCUCACCAGAAGUUUCUUCACAUCAAAAAUAGGAACUCGCUGUGGGUGGUGGUGCACGCCAUUAAUCCCAGCACUUGGGAGGCAGAGGCAGUCGGAUUUCUGAGUUCAAGGACAGCCUGGUCUACAGAGUGAGUUCCAGGACAGCCAGGGCUACACAGAGAAACCCUGUCUCGGGGGGAAUAAAAAGAAAGAAAGAAAAGAAAAAACUGGUUCAGUAGGUAAAGGUGCUUGAUAUCAGAAGUCAAUUCCUGUGACCAAUACAAUAGGAAGAGCAAAUCAACUACUGCAAGUUGUUCUCCAGCUUCUACAUGUAUGUUGUGGCAUGACUCAGGUACAUAUACAUUUAUACACAAAAUAAAGUAAGAAUUGAUAGUUCAGGGUGUGUGUGUGUGUGUGUGUGUGUGCCAGCAACUGCUCCACUCAAAUUAUAGAUAUCUUUGCUUUCUUUCUCUAGAUAUAAUGUAGUUAGUGCAACUAUCUCCAUUUGAACAUAAUUUGAGAAAGUGAAGUUUUAGAGAGAGGAUGAAUAAGUUUGUUGGGAUGAUUUUGGUAUGGAACUCAGUGGUAGCAAUGGCCAACUUUUCAUGUAGGCUAUGGCUUCCUGCCAUAGUCAUGCUGAGACACAUUCAGGUCUGUUUCUACUGGAGCAGUCAGAAACUUCUACUUUAUAGUUUCCAUAUAGAACCAGAAUAGAAAUUCAUUGUUUAUACAACCAUAAUUGUCAUAUACAUUAUAUGUAAUAUG